UGCAGUCGAACGCUUCUUUUUCMCCGGAGCUUGCUCCACCGGAAAAAGAGGAGUGGCGAACGGGUGAGUAACACGUGGGUAACCUGCCCAUCAGAAGGGGAUAACACUUGGAAACAGGUGCUAAUACCGUAUAACAAUCAAAACCGCAUGGUUUUGAUUUGAAAGGCGCUUUCGGGUGUCGCUGAUGGAUGGACCCGCGGUGCAUUAGCUAGUUGGUGAGGUAACGGCUCACCAAGGCCACGAUGCAUAGCCGACCUGAGAGGGUGAUCGGCCACAUUGGGACUGAGACACGGCCCAAACUCCUACGGGAGGCAGCAGUAGGGAAUCUUCGGCAAUGGACGAAAGUCUGACCGAGCAACGCCGCGUGAGUGAAGAAGGUUUUCGGAUCGUAAAACUCUGUUGUUAGAGAAGAACAAGGAUGAGAGUAACUGUUCAUCCCUUGACGGUAUCUAACCAGAAAGCCACGGCUAACUACGUGCCAGCAGCCGCGGUAAUACGUAGGUGGCAAGCGUUGUCCGGAUUUAUUGGGCGUAAAGCGAGCGCAGGCGGUUUCUUAAGUCUGAUGUGAAAGCCCCCGGCUCAACCGGGGAGGGUCAUUGGAAACUGGGAGACUUGAGUGCAGAAGAGGAGAGUGGAAUUCCAUGUGUAGCGGUGAAAUGCGUAGAUAUAUGGAGGAACACCAGUGGCGAAGGCGGCUCUCUGGUCUGUAACUGACGCUGAGGCUCGAAAGCGUGGGGAGCAAACAGGAUUAGAUACCCUGGUAGUCCACGCCGUAAACGAUGAGUGCUAAGUGUUGGAGGGUUUCCGCCCUUCAGUGCUGCAGCUAACGCAUUAAGCACUCCGCCUGGGGAGUACGACCGCAAGGUUGAAACUCAAAGGAAUUGACGGGGGCCCGCACAAGCGGUGGAGCAUGUGGUUUAAUUCGAAGCAACGCGAAGAACCUUACCAGGUCUUGACAUCCUUUGACCACUCUAGAGAUAGAGCUUCCCCUUCGGGGGCAAAGUGACAG
rnacentral:rRNA from 1 species